rnacentral:rRNA from 1 species
GGGAAAUUAGGGUUUUGUACCGGAGAGGGAGCCUGAGAGAUUGCUCCCACGUCCAAGGACGGCAGCAGGCGCGAAAAUUGCCCACUCUUUGCAGGAGGCAGUUAUGAGACGUGAAGAUGAGUAUCUUGUAAAGAGGGAUAGGAGAAUUGGAGGGCAAGUUUGGUGCCAGCAGCCGCGGUAAUACCGACUCCAAGAGUGUGUAUGAGAGAUGCUGCAGUUAAAAAGUCCGUAGUCAUAGAAGGGCAAAGAGAGAUGCGAGGUCUCACAGUGCGAUGAUGGAGGAGCCGAUGGGGAACAUAGUAUACCAGGGCGAGAGAUGAAAUGCCAAGACCCCUGGUGGACUGAGCGAGGCGAAGGCGAUGUUCUUGUAGGCAUUCGGUGAUCAAGGACGAAGGCUGGAGUAUCGAAAGUGAUUAGAUACCGCAGUAGUUCCAGCAGUAAAAGAUGCCGACAUGCUCAUUGGACACAGUGGGCAGGGAGAAAUCUUAGAGUUCGGGCUCUGGGGAUAGUAUGCUCGCAAGGGUGAAAAUUAAAGAAAUUGACGGAGCUACACCACAAGGAGUGGAUUGUGCGGCUUAAUUUGACUCAACGCGAGAAACUUACCAGGGCCAAGUAUUUGUGUAGAAACGAGCAAUACAGGAGGUGGUGCAUGGUCGUUGGAAAAUUGAUGGGAUGACUUUGACCUUUAAAUGGUUGAAUGAGUGAGAUCUUUUGACAUGU